rnacentral:rRNA from 1 species
GGGUUGUGAGGUUAAGCGACUAAGCGUACACGGUGGAUGCCUUGGCAGUCAGAGGCGAUGAAGGGCGUGCUAAUCUGCGAUAAGCGCCGGUAAGGUGAUAUGAACCGUUAUAACCGGCGAUACCCGAAUGGGGAAACCCAGUGUGACUCGUCACACUAUCAUUAACUGAAUCCAUAGGUUAAUGAGGCGAACCGGGGGAACUGAAACAUCUAAGUACCCCGAGGAAAAGAAAUCAACCGAGAUUCCCCCAGUAGCGGCGAGCGAACGGGGAGGAGCCCAGAGCCUGAAUCAGCAUGUGUGUUAGUGGAAGCGUCUGGAAAGGCGCGCGAUACAGGGUGACAGCCCCGUACACAAAAGCGCAUGUGCUGUGAGCUCGAUGAGUAGGGCGGGACACGUGGUAUCCUGUCUGAAUAUGGGGGGACCAUCCUCCAAGGCUAAAUACUCCUGACUGACCGAUAGUGAACCAGUACCGUGAGGGAAAGGCGAAAAGAACCCCGGCGAGGGGAGUGAAAAAGAACCUGAAACCGUGUACGUACAAGCAGUGGGAGCCCCACCACUAAGCCAGUGGUGAACUCCACAUCCGCAUCCUUUGCUGAGGAUACGGUUAACGGAGCGAAAGCGACGUUCAACCGCAAAACAAGCAGAGGGGGCUUAGUGGUGGGGUGACUGCGUACCUUUUGUAUAAUGGGUCAGCGACUUAUAUUCUGUAGCAAGGUUAACCGUAUAGGGGAGCCGGAGGGAAACCGAGUCUUAAUUGGGCGUUAAGUUGCAGGGUAUAGACCCGAAACCCGGUGAUCUAGCCAUGGGCAGGUUGAAGGUUGGGUAACACUAACUGGAGGACCGAACCGACUAAUGUUGAAAAAUUAGCGGAUGACCUGUGGCUGGGGGUGAAAGGCCAAUCAAACCGGGAGAUAGCUGGUUCUCCCCGAAAGCUAUUUAGGUAGCGCCUCGUGAAUUCAUCUCCGGGGGUAGAGCACUGUUUCGGCUAGGGGGCCAUCCCGGCUUACCAACCCGAUGCAAACUGCGAAUACCGGAGAAUGUUAUCACGGGAGACACACGGCGGGUGCUAACGUCCGUCGUGAAGAGGGAAACAACCCAGACCGCCAGCUAAGGUCCCAAAGUCAUGGUUAAGUGGGAAACGAUGUGGGAAGGCCCAGACAGCCAGGAUGUUGGCUUAGAAGCAGCCAUCAUUUAAAGAAAGCGUAAUAGCUCACUGGUCGAGUCGGCCUGCGCGGAAGAUGUAACGGGGCUAAACCAUGCACCGAAGCUGCGGCAGCGACGCUGAUGCGUUGUUGGGUAGGGGAGCGUUCUGUAAGCCUGCGAAGGUGACCUGUGAGGGUUGCUGGAGGUAUCAGAAGUGCGAAUGCUGACAUAAGUAACGAUAAAGCGGGUGAAAAGCCCGCUCGCCGGAAGACCAAGGGUUCCUGUCCAACGUUAAUCGGGGCAGGGUGAGUCGACCCCUAAGGCGAGGCCGAAAGGCGUAGUUGAUGGGAAACGGGUUAAUAUUCCCGUACUUGGUGUUACUGCGAAGGGGGGACGGAGAAGGCUAUGUUGGCCGGGCGACGGUUGUCCCGGUUUAAGCGUGUAGGUGUGUGUUCCAGGUAAAUCCGGUUCACUUUAACACUGAGGCGUGAUGACGAGGCACUACGGUGCUGAAGCAACAAAUGCCCUGCUUCCAGGAAAAGCCUCUAAGCAUCAGGUAACAUCAAAUCGUACCCCAAACCGACACAGGUGGUCAGGUAGAGAAUACCAAGGCGCUUGAGAGAACUCGGGUGAAGGAACUAGGCAAAAUGGUGCCGUAACUUCGGGAGAAGGCACGCUGACACGUAGGUGAAGUGAUUUACUCAUGGAGCUGAAGUCAGUCGAAGAUACCAGCUGGCUGCAACUGUUUAUUAAAAACACAGCACUGUGCAAACACGAAAGUGGACGUAUACGGUGUGACGCCUGCCCGGUGCCGGAAGGUUAAUUGAUGGGGUCAGCGCAAGCGAAGCUCCUGAUCGAAGCCCCGGUAAACGGCGGCCGUAACUAUAACGGUCCUAAGGUAGCGAAAUUCCUUGUCGGGUAAGUUCCGACCUGCACGAAUGGCGUAAUGAUGGCCAGGCUGUCUCCACCCGAGACUCAGUGAAAUUGAACUCGCUGUGAAGAUGCAGUGUACCCGCGGCAAGACGGAAAGACCCCGUGAACCUUUACUAUAGCUUGACACUGAACAUUGAGCCUUGAUGUGUAGGAUAGGUGGGAGGCUUUGAAGUGUGGACGCCAGUCUGCAUGGAGCCGACCUUGAAAUACCACCCUUUAAUGUUUGAUGUUCUAACGUGGACCCGUAAUCCGGGUUGCGGACAGUGUCUGGUGGGUAGUUUGACUGGGGCGGUCUCCUCCUAAAGAGUAACGGAGGAGCACGAAGGUUGGCUAAUCCUGGUCGGACAUCAGGAGGUUAGUGCAAUGGCAUAAGCCAGCUUGACUGCGAGCGUGACGGCGCGAGCAGGUGCGAAAGCAGGUCAUAGUGAUCCGGUGGUUCUGAAUGGAAGGGCCAUCGCUCAACGGAUAAAAGGUACUCCGGGGAUAACAGGCUGAUACCGCCCAAGAGUUCAUAUCGACGGCGGUGUUUGGCACCUCGAUGUCGGCUCAUCACAUCCUGGGGCUGAAGUAGGUCCCAAGGGUAUGGCUGUUCGCCAUUUAAAGUGGUACGCGAGCUGGGUUUAGAACGUCGUGAGACAGUUCGGUCCCUAUCUGCCGUGGGCGCUGGAGAACUGAGGGGGGCUGCUCCUAGUACGAGAGGACCGGAGUGGACGCAUCACUGGUGUUCGGGUUGUCAUGCCAAUGGCACUGCCCGGUAGCUAAAUGCGGAAGAGAUAAGUGCUGAAAGCAUCUAAGCACGAAACUUGCCCCGAGAUGAGUUCUCCCUGAGACUUUAGGUCUCCUGAAGGAACGUUGAAGACGACGACGUUGAUAGGCCGGGUGUGUAAGCGCAGCGAUGCGUUGAGCUAACCGGUACUAAUGAACCGUGAGGCUUAACCUUACAACGCCGAAG